rnacentral:rRNA from 1 species
UACGAAGGUCCCAAGCGUUAUCCGGAUUUAUUGGGUUUAAAGGGUGCGUAGGCGGAUUAUUAAGUCAGUGGUGAAAGCUCCAUGCCUAACAUGGAAAUUGCCAUUGAUACUGAUGAUCUUGAGUACAUUUGAAGUGGGCGGAAUGUGUCAUGUAGCGGUGAAAUGCUUAGAUAUGACACAGAACACCGAUUGCGUAGGCAGCACGCUAAACUGUAACUGACGCUGAGGCACGAAAGCGCGGGGAGCAAACAGG